GGGAGGAGCCUGUUUCCUGCUGUACAGCACAGAGCCACAUCUGGGAGACACCCCUCUUCUCUUCCAGGUUUCCAGAAUGCCUUUCCAAGCUAGAACCCAGGCUAUGAUCUGCUGGCCGGACACAACAUGCAAGAUCCCACAGAGGCCAGAAGACAAUGUUGGAUCAUCACCCCACACCUCACAUCCAAAGCUGCCGUUAAAGACAGUUGUAAGCUAUCAGAUACAAGGGCUGGCUGGCGUGGAUAUGGCGUGGAUAUGAGGGCUGGCGUGGAACCUGGGUCCUCUCAAAGGGCAGCACGCGCUCUCCACCUUUGAGCCAUCUCUCCAGCCCCCAGCAGCCAGACCUUGGAGGCCCUCGUUCUUGGAACGGUCUGGCUCAUCGUUGCUUUUCUCAACUGGACGCGAUUAUGGACGAGAAGUACAGAGCUUUAAUGGCCAUUUAAAUGGGUCUGGAAAGUGUUCCCACCUCUGGAAAGUGCCCCCCCCCCGGGUGCAUUACAUUCUAAUGAAUUAAUUAAUAAUUACAUUCUAAUUAAUCUAUGCUUUUGAAGGCUAGUCAGCCUUCCUUCUUGUCCUUUGUCAAAGAGAGGAUUUGUGUGUGUGUGUGUUCGUUUUGGCAGAAAUGGAGACGGACCCCAGGGCUUCAAUUCUGCCAUACGAGCACCCUACCACUGAACUCCACUUCCAGCUCAAAUGUACCCUUUUACAGUGUGGCAAGACGCUAGCUGGACACAAAGCAAGACUGUACAAAUCAGAAGCCAUUGCUUCUGAUUACAUAUUGGUUAAGGCUUGUUGGAACUGGAGAAAAUCUGUAAAGGAUGUAGGCCUUUGGCAACACUUUGAAGGAUGCAUCCUGGAAAACUUAGCAGCGGGUUGUUGUUGUUUUGUGCCCCACUCAGGAUUGAAGCAGGGCCUUGUUCGGGUUAGGUGAGUUGUAACACAAAGGAGAUGACUAUGCAUUCAAAUAUUUACAGUUUUACCUACAUAGUACAAAUAUAGGUGUUUUUCAUUUUU
rnacentral:lncRNA from 1 species